rnacentral:misc_RNA from 1 species
AAUGCGAUACUUGGUGUGAAUUGCAGGAUCCCGCGAACCACCGAGUCUUUGAACGCAAGUUGCGCCCGGAGCCUUCUGGCCGAGGGCACGUCUGCCUGGGCGUCACGCAUCGCUGACGCAACCCCCACUCGGGUUUGCUGCGCGGGCGGGGGCACACGCUGGCCUCCCGUGCGCACCGUCGCGCGGAUGGCUUAAAUUCGAGUCCUCGGCGCCGGUCGUCGCGACACUACGGUGGUUGCUCCAACCUCGGUACCGCGUCGCGACCUCAGUCCGCGCACCUCCUCCCCUGCGAGCGAGCGAGGACUCCUUCGCCGACCCUCUGAACGUCGUCC